GUGAAGGAUUAAACAUUUUUAACCCUGAGUUUCCGUAAUGAAGAACAAAGAAGCAACACUCUAAUUUUUUCAUGACG
rfam:Tuber melanosporum whole genome shotgun sequence assembly, scaffold_143, strain Mel28